AGCUGAAGUAAGAAAUAGUUCUUCUCUUACCCCCUUCCUCUAUUUUUGGAGUUCUUUAAAUGGAGAUUAUAUGUGUGACAAUUAUGCCCUUUAUGUUUUGUAAACUUGUAUGUUGUACUUGACACUAUUGCAUUCCCAUUUGUAAGUUUCUCAUUAGUGUUAAAUUCUAUUGCUUCUUUAGGCUACUAGAAACAAAGAAAUUAGGUCUAUCCUUAUCUUUUUUGUGGAUUGGCUUAAUUUGCGCGGAUUCUCUCUACAUGAUCUGCAUGAUUCAUCAGUACAGAUUGAUGAUAUCAGUUUUAAAUAGAGGAAAAAAAAGUGAGAUGAGUUGUUGAAAGUUGAAAGAAGUUAAAAUCAAAGUCCUUUUGGCAGCCUAUUCUUCAGAUGGUUAUGUAUGUAAAUUGCAUAGCACUUAGUGACAUUCUGAUAAUAUUUCAAGUACUUUUCUACAAAAAAGCCAACUAGGACAAAAAGAAAUGGCCUUGCAUUUAGUUAUUAUGGCAAUGAGUUAGGGUCUAGCUCAGAUUGUAAGGGGGAUCCGGGCUGUGGGUAGAGAUCCUAGAUUCAAGCUGUAGUGCUUUUCUAUUGUACCAAAAGCUAUUUUAGUUGGCAGAAAUUCUUCUGCUUUCUUGAUGAAUUUAACUAUUGAUAAUUUUCUGUUUUCUCUCUGAGCAGGUUGCUGCAGAGAAGCCAAAUCCA
rnacentral:misc_RNA from 1 species